CAUGAAGAUCAACGAACUGGCGGGGACCAAUCGUCAUUGGGGUGAUAUAAAUACACAGACUAAUCAGCCCGCAUGAGACGCAGGUGUGCGCCCUAAUCAGCGCACCCGCGCAGGCACCCGCACAGCUCGUGCUGGAGCGGCAGGAUCAUCACAGUUCUAUGUGCAAUGCAAACCAUACAAGAUAAAUAAUAUGCACCUGCGUAUCAUCUCAAAGCCAAAAGGGGCACGACUGCUCCUGCAAAUUGAGGACCUCACCCGCCUGUUCAAUCCCCUUCCUCCACUAGGGUCAUUAUGGUGACAACAUCCUCACUCGCCAUUGGCAAAGCAGUACAUGAGAUAAAGACUUGCCUAUGUCGGCAAGCAUUGUAGGCGAGCGCACAUAAGUGGGGAGAAAAAAAAAAAAAAAGCAACAACCUGCAGACCAGCUGAUUGUGACAACUUGGAACGCAAUUCCCGUCACAUACCACACUAUUGCGGCGCUGCAUGAAGUUUAAUUUAAAGAAGUAUGAAACAGACGACAAAGCCAUCAGCAAAGAAGUCCCAUUAAUGAGACCCAGAUCAGCUAGCUGUCUUUGGACUGAAGUAGUAUGCGGUGCUCACCAUGUACCAGAUCCCCAAGACGAUGGUUCCGGUGCGGACAUGACAGCAAAAGCAGCAGUUUGUGGAGUACCACAGGUCCC